CCUACGGGAGGCAGCAGUGGGGAAUAUUGCACAAUGGAGGAAACUCUGAUGCAGCGACGCCGCGUGAGUGAAGAAGUAUUUCGGUUUGUAAAGCUCUAUCAUCAGGGAAGAACAUGACGGUACCUAAUUAAACAGCCCCUGCUAACUACUUGCCAGCAGACGCGGUAAUACGUAGUGGGCACGCUGUCUCCAGAUUUACUGGGUGUAAAGGGAUCGUAGACGGGAGCACAAGUCUGGAGUGAAAUGCCUGGGCUUAACCACGGAAGUGCUUUGGAAACUGUGCAGCUAGAGGGCAGGAGAGGGAAGUGGAAUUCCAAAUGUAGCGGUGAAAUGCGUAGAUAUUUGGAGGAACACCAGUGGCGAAGGCGGCUUACUGGACUGUAACUGACGUUGAGGCUCGAAAGCGUGGGGAGCAAACAGGAUUAGAUACCCUAGUAGUC
rnacentral:rRNA from 1 species